rnacentral:lncRNA from 1 species
GAAGAAGCUCUAUCACAUCACAGUGCACAAUGCAGUUCACUUUCUAUAUACACAUAUAGAUAAAUAGGUGCAGCUAAUAAUCAUUUGAAUUCUGUUUUGCACUUAUCACUUCUCCGUCUUCUAUGUUGUCUUACGACAAGCUGCGACAUUCAGAUGGAUACUAGGAUGCUCUGAAGCACAUUUAUUGGGCCUCAUUCACUGCUAUCCGUGUAGACUUGUUCUUACCCUGCACACAAAAUAGGGCAGAAGAAGGCAUAACAAUAAAAUCAAAGCACAAGCUCAAUAUCAAUAAUAUGAUAUGGAUGAAAACUCAAAGUUGGAAUGACAACAAAACCCAAACAAGAUACAAAGUAAAAAAUAUAUCAAAAGCUCAACGUUAGUCGACUCCAUCCAUCCAUUCGCAUCCACUUAUCCUUUUCAGGGUCCUUUUCAGGGUCGCAGAGGGCGGUGGAGCCUAUCCCAGCUGUCAUACAGCAAGAGUCAGGGUACACCCUGGACAGGUCGCCAGUCUAUCGCAGGGCUAACACCCUGGAACCUGUUAAAUCUCUUUUCCACUAGCACCCACUCGACUCGACUCAACUACACUUAGUUUCGGCUGUUUUCCAUUAAGUUUUAGUUCCUGGUACCAGGCUCCAAAAAAGCUGACGGAAAUGUGACAUCAGCAGACUACGUGCCACCGAUUGGCCCGGGAGUGACAUCACUGGAUGAGUCGUGAGAGCGACUCCUUCACAAGAAUCAAACCUGUCAGUUUUGAAACCCAGCAACGAGGGAAAUGGCCACACACACAACAACACCGCGGUCCAACGAAACGCACACAUUUACCAUCAGUCCAGCAGCAGCAGACUCCUUGGGCUUAUUACUGCUCAGAGAAGAAAUCUUUGCUCUUCUGGACGUCUGACCUUUAUCAUUUGUGCAUAUGUGCGUUCUGAAGUGGUUUGAAGCAGCGGCGGACGGUCUCCGCUGUUUUCUACCUGCUUCUUCUGCUUUAUAUUCACCGGAGGUCUUUGAGGUGAACUGGAGGAGUGGCUACAUCAGCUUAACUUCAUAUUAACUUAUUGUUAUCAACACAAACUGAAUUAAAGAAAAUUUACAUGCACCAAC